UACAGAGGUCUCAAGCGUUGUUCGGAGUCAUUGGGCGUAAAGGGCGCGUAGGCGGCGGGGUAAGUCGGGUGUGAAAUCUCAGAGCUCAACUCUGAAAUGGCACUUGAUACUGCUCUGCUAGAGGACUGGAGAGGAGAUUGGAAUUCACGGUGUAGCAGUGAAAUGCGUAGAUAUCGUGAGGAAGACCGGUGGCGAAGGCGGAUCUCUGGACAGUUCCUGACGCUGAGGCGCGAAGGCCAGGGGAGCAAACGGG
rnacentral:rRNA from 1 species